rnacentral:tRNA from 1 species
ACUUUAUUAGUAUAAAUAAGUACACUUAACUUCCAAUUAAAAAGUUUUUUAAAAAUAAAGUA